rnacentral:rRNA from 1 species
AACUUGCGGAAGGAUCAUUA